AUUGAACGCUGGCGGCAGGCCUAACACAUGCAAGUCGAACGAGUGGCGGACGGGUGAGUAAUGUCUGGGCAACUGCCUGAUGGAGGGGGAUAACUACUGGCAACGGUAGCUAAUACCGCAUACCAUCAGCUGUGCCCAGCUGGGAUUAGCUAGUUGGUGGGGUAACGGCUCACCAAGCCGACGAUCCCUAGCUGGUCUGAGAGGAUGACCAGCCACACUGGAAUGGAGACACGGUCCAGACUCUUACGGGGGGCAGCAGUGGGGAAGAUGGGACAAGGGGCGAAAGCCUGAUGCAGCAAGGCGGGGUGGAUGAAGAAGGCCUUCGGGUUGAAAAGUACGUUCAGAGGGGAGGCGUUACCCGCAGAAGAAGCACCGGCUAACUCCGUGCCAGCAGCCGCGGUAAUAC
rnacentral:rRNA from 1 species